rnacentral:tRNA from 1 species
AGAGUUUUUAUUGGUUUAGGCCAAUAGAACAGAAAGCAACGACUAAGAGAAGACAAGAGAGAGUAGUUUCUUUUCACAAGCUGUCAUUUUUUUUUAUAUACUAUAACACCAAGCAACAAAACAAAGUAGAGUCUCGUAGCUCAGCUGGUUAGAGCGCUACACUGAUAAUGUAGAGGUCGGCAGUUCGAGUCUGCCCGAGACUACUCUUUUUUUUGUCAACGGGUUUUUAUAGAAAGGAAAUUCUAGAGGUUGGGAUUCCACGAAUAGGGUCUCAUUGGAUGGGAUUUUUUAAUUGGGGGAUUAGCUCAGCUGGCUAGAGCGCUUGAUUUGCAUUCAAGAGGUCAUCGGUUCGACUCCRAUAUUCUCCACGGUUCUAUAGAAUAAGAUUUAGAGCAUAAACAUUUGUUAUCCAACAUUUAGUGUUUUUGUUUUUAGGUUUUAUUUGUUUUAACUAGAAAGACGUUCAUUGACAUAUUGAAAAGAUACAAAAAGUAUCAACCAAUUUUUUUUUACAAUAAAAAAGAGAGGUUUAUACGAGCAAAUAAUAAUAAUAAGUAGUAAAUUUUUUAGAUACAAUUUUUUAGAGAAAGAGUAAAAAAGUUAC